rnacentral:rRNA from 1 species
UACGUAGGUGGCAAGCGUUGUCCGGAUUUACUGGGCGUAAAGGAUGCGUAGGUGGAUAUUUAAGUGGGAUGUGAAAAUACCCGGGCUCAACUUGGGUGCUGCAUUCCAAACUGGAUAUCUAGAGUGCAGGAGAGGAAAGUGGAAUUCCUAGUGUAGCAGUGAAAAUUGCGUAGAUAUUAGGAGGAACACCAGUGGCGAAGGCGACUUUCUGGACUGUAACUGACACUGAGGCAUGAAAGCGUGGGAGCAAACAGG